rfam:Diaporthe helianthi strain 7/96 Scaffold_7208.1, whole genome shotgun sequence.
CUCCACCCCGAUGACACAAUAUCCAGCAGCGGUAUUGUGUAAUGACCUGCAGUGUCAACGGUUGGUGGAG